rnacentral:rRNA from 1 species
AUUGAACGCUGGCGGCAGGCCUAACACAUGCAAGUCGAGCGAGCGGCGGGCGUGUGAGUAAUAUAUCGGAACGUGCCCAGUAUCGGGGGAUAACUACUCGAAAGAGUGGCUAAUACCGCCUACUAUUGGAGCGGCCGAUAUGGGAUUAGCGAGGUGGUGGGGUAAAGGCUCACCAAGGCAACGAUCCGUAGCUUGUUUGAGAGGACGACCAGCAACACUGGGACUGGAACACGGCCCAGACUCCGACGGGAGGAAGCAGUGGGGAAUAGUGGACAAUGGGAGAAAACCUGAUCCAGCCAUCCCGCGUGUAUGAGAAGGCCUUGGAGUUGUAAAGUACUUUAAGCAGGGAUACGGUAACUGCAGAAUAAGCACCGGCUAACUACGUGCCAGCAGCCGCGGUAAUUC